ACUUCAAACACCACCACCUAAAUAAAGCUCAGUUCCCACUGCACCAACAAGCCACAGCCGAGAGUUCUGUGCAACAAAUGCGUUUCUGAAGUUCCGGAAGCCUGGACAUAGCAGUAAUUCCAGGACAAGACAGUUGGACAGCCCGCGGGGGUGGGGGUCAGGAGGAAUGGCUCCCCAGACUCCUGAACAGAGGAUGGUGACCCAAUCAGGGAACACGUCUCAACCCAACAUUGAAAGGACAAAGUUGCGUCUGCAGGCUUCCUCUUAAUUCUAUGGAUCAUGCAAUAGUCUUUCAAGAAAUUAUCUUCUGCUUAGCUAGUCACUUCCUGUUGCUAGAACCAUGAAGAGGCCUGGUGAAAGAUGUUCAGUAUACUACCUGCAUCAGCUGCUACUGCUAUGUGACAAGCAAAUUUUCCAGAAACACUGACAUGGAAACAGGAUCUUUCUUCUCCUACUGUUUGUUCCUCGACUACAGUUAUAAUCCUCUAUUUGUGACAUCAUAAUUAGUUGCCACUGGAGAAGACGAUCGUGUCACAAAAGGAUUAGGACCUAAGUAUUUAAUGAAUGCCCACCAUUGAUGAGGCACUAUGCUAGAUGCAGAGGACACAGUAGUGAACAAGAUGUGUUUUCUAUUCUCCGGGGACUGACAGUACACAGAUGUAGACAGGCAAGUAAAUAGUAGGGCAUAAUGUGAUCGGAGUUGAGAUGCCAUAGGAGUGCCCCCUAUCUGAUUGAGAAGUCAGGUAAGCCUUUCCAGGGCUGAUGUCGCCACUGACUCCUAAAGAAUGAUCAAGAACCAGUAAAGUCACGUGCGGUCUAACGAGGCAUCCCAAGCAGCAGGAACAACAGCAUGUGCAAAGUCCCAGAGGCAAGAACGACAGUGGACACUGCAA
rnacentral:lncRNA from 1 species